rnacentral:tRNA from 1 species
GUGGCUGUGGCUCAGUGGUAGAGCGCUUGUCUAUCAUGCAUGAGCCACUGGGUUUGAACCCAGCACCACA